CUUCUUUUGUUGCAUUUUGGAAUGCGGUGGUGUUGGGGAUGGGACCCUCAAACUUGUUGUGAGAGACGUCCACCUCCAUCAAACCUCGCAUAUCCUUGAAAGUCUCAUAUAUAAGGCCAGAAAGAUUAUUGUGUGAAAGGUUGAGUUUCACUAGGCUUUCUAGCUUGUUGAAUUGAGUUGGGAUCUCACCGCUUAACAAGUUAUGACUCAAGUCUAGCUCGGAUAAAUGAGUUAGCAUCCCUAAUUGGCCUGGAAUAUCUUGGCUCAACUGGUUGUUGCUCAGAUCCAGGUGGAUUAAUUUUGAAGAAAACCCGAUAGUCUGCGGGAUAGACAUGCUUAAUCUAUUCCUUGACAAAUCCAAUUUUUGAAGACCAGGUAGCAACACAAUAUCUGGACUUAUUCGGUCAGAAAGUUGGUUCCUACUUAAAUUCAAAUUCACCAAAGAAGUCAAUUUUCCGAAUUCUUUCGGAAGCUCACCAACUAAGCUGUUGAAGGAAAGAUCAAUUGCACCCAAUUGAGUUGCGUUUCCAAUCUCUGGAGGCAAGCUACCAGUGAUGUUAUUUCCCGCAAUUCUUAGAUCCCUUAAACGCAUGCAACUUCCCCAAUUUGUUGAGAUUUCUCCAUAGAACUUGUUGAAACUCAGGUCGAUAAAGGUUAGGUUGGGGUAGACACUGAAGGUCUCGGAUAUGUUUCCAGUGAGCUGGUUUUCCUCAAAGCGUGCUCUGACUAAGCUUGUGCAAUUUCUCAAGCUUCUAGGGAUAGAACCAAUUAAGUUGUUGCCACUCACUGUAAGCUUUUGGAGCAACCCACCUUGGCAUAGUUUCUCUGGUAAGAAGCCGCUUAACUGGUUGGUGUCCAAUUGCAGCACCUUCAAGUUCACUAGAUCCCCUAAGGAUCUAGGAAUUGAACCAAAAAGGUGAUUGUCACGGAGAAACAAAGAUGUUAGGUAGGUCAAGUUACCCAAAGAAGAAGGAAUUGGGCCGGUGAGCUGAUUUGUACUUAGCUCUAAGUCAAGCAUAGCGUGGAGAUUUCCCAUUUCAUUAGGAAUGUGACCGGAAAGGUUAUUACCGUAGAGAUAAAGAGAGGUAAGCUCCAUCAAAUUGCCUAAUGUUGGUGGGAUUGAACCCAUAAGAUUAUUAUCAUUAAGGCUCAACUCAUUAAGACGAUUCAAAUUCCCUAGCUCCAGUGGGAUGGAACCAGUAAGCUCAUUAGCAAAUAGGUUCAGCUCUGUCAAUUUGGUUAAGUUCCCCAAAGUGGAAGGAAUCGGUCCUGUUAGGAAGUUGUUGUCCAUGUGGAGCACUUCCAAAUUUGUCAUAUUUCCCAUUUCAGGAGGAAUAGAACCAGAAAGGGAGUUGUUGUAGACAUACAGUAUAGCCAAUUUGCUCAAAUUACUUAAUGAGGAAGGUAUGGGUCCAUUCAAAUGGUUCGAAUAUAGCGCGACCUCAUUGAGCAAAUGCAAUUGUCCAAUUUCUUGGGGAAUGGAGCCAUUUAACUCAUUGGAAACCAGGUGCAAGACUGUUAGUUUAGUUAGAUGGCUUAUCUCUGUCGGUAUUUUCCCCAUGAACCGAUUGAUAGAGAGGUCAAGAUAGGUGAGAUUGCUCAAUAGACCGAUUUGAGGCGGAAUAUAACCAGAGAGACUAUUUAUACUCAGGUCCAUGUANNNNNNNNNNNNNNNNNNNNNNNNNNNNNNNNNNNNNNNNNNNNNNNNNNNNNNNNNNNNNNNNNNNNNNNNNNNNNNNNNNNNNNNNNNNNNNNNNNNNGGUUGACAGAGCAAAAUCGUUUAUCAGACGAUAUCUUCUACAAAGUGAUCCAGUGCACGGCUUGGAUUUGUUGCAUCUCUCACAGGAUCAGUGGGCUUCUGUGAUUUUUGAACUCCAUCAAAAAUGGUUGAACGAGCUGAUAGCGCGUGAGAAAUCAUUUUCAUUGACGGCCUGAGUUGGGGAUUAUCAGAUAUGCAAGCGACUGCAAGCUUUAGGAUGGUCAGAAGUUCAUCCUCAAUGCCUGGCAUGGGCGUUGGCAGGCGUGAAUCCAAUAUAUUCUUCAAAACUACUGAGAUCUCCAUGCCGACCGGAGCUAAUAGAGAUGAAAGACUAUCACCCGGAUGUCUUCCUUUGAUCACCUCGAUGGCUACUAUUCCAAAGCUAUACACAUCGCAUUUCUCUGUCACCUUCAUUGUGUAAGCAAGCUCUGCACAAAGAAGGAGAUAUAUGUGUUAGCACAAAUACAUCACUUUAGCUAAACCGUUGGAUCAAGAGUCGAUUUUAGAAAUUAACCUGGAGCUACGUAACCAUAUGUGCCGACGACUGCACUCCAGUUUGAUGUGUCCAACUUAAGAAGCUUAGCCGUGCCAAAGUCAGAAACAUGCGCCACAUACUCCGAAUCAAGCAGAAUGUUGUUACUCGAAAUAUCUCGAUGAACGAUUGGAGAAAUACAAUCAUGGUGCAUAUAGGAUAGAGCAUGAGCCACCCCUUUUACUAUGUUCACCCUCUUGUUCCAAUCCAACUCCAUGGCUUCUUCUUCAUUGCUCAAGAUUGUAGACAAGCUUCCUCUAUCAAAGUACUCAUACACCAAGAAUGAGUGUUGUGGAUGCGAACAAAAGCCCUCUAGUUUCACAAUAUUGCGAUGUCGAAUUUCCGUCAAUGCCUUAAUCUCAUUCAAAAAUUCCUUUUGAUUUGUUUGCCCACUAUCAGCUGUUUGAUAGAGCUUCUUUACAGCUACUAUAUCACCUGAUCUUAAUUUGGCCUUGAAGACACUUCCAUAGCCUCCCCUUCCAAUACAGAAAAUCUCAUCAAAAGCCCCAGUGGAUUCUAUGAUGUCUUCAUAUAAGAUCAUUCCACCGUACUUUGAUAGAGAAAAGACUUUAGUUGUCUUGCUUGAUAGGUCCGCUUUUGGAUGGAACUUCUUUCUAAGGAAAAUGAAGAAUAUUCCAAAGAAAAUAAACAACACUACUCCUAGCAGAGAAAACGCAAUAAGAAUAACCCUACCUCCCGUUGAAGAGUUUUCCCUAUCCACCACUGCUUGAUUACAUGGCUUAAGUCCUCCAACAUUUCCACACAAUCCGUUGUUGCCUUCAAACGCUUCUUUUGUUGCAUUUUGGAAUGCGGUGGUGUUGGGGAUGGGACCCUCAAACUUGUUGUGAGAGACGUCCACCUCCAUCAAACCUCGCAUAUCCUUGAAAGUCUCAUAUAUAAGGCCAGAAAGAUUAUUGUGUGAAAGGUUGAGUUUCACUAGGCUUUCUAGCUUGUUGAAUUGAGUUGGGAUCUCACCGCUUAACAAGUUAUGACUCAAGUCUAGCUCGGAUAAAUGAGUUAGCAUCCCUAAUUGGCCUGGAAU
rnacentral:lncRNA from 1 species